AACGAACGCUGGCGGCAGGCUUAACACAUGCAAGUCGAACGAUGAACCCGGAGCUUGCUCCGGUGGAUUAGUGGCGAACGGGUGAGUAACACGUGAGUAACCUGCCCUUGACUCUGGGAUAACUGCGGGAAACUGUAGCUAAUACCGGAUACGACCCUCGGCGGCAUCGCCAGGGGGUGGAAAGAAUUUCGGUCAAGGAUGGACUCGCGGCCUAUCAGCUUGUUGGUGAGGUAAUGGCUCACCAAGGCGACGACGGGUAGCCGGCCUGAGAGGGUGACCGGCCACACUGGGACUGAGACACGGCCCAGACUCCUACGGGAGGCAGCAGUGGGGAAUAUUGCACAAUGGGCGCAAGCCUGAUGCAGCAACGCCGCGUGAGGGAUGACGGCCUUCGGGAUGUAAACCUCCUUUAGUAGGGAAGAAGCGAAAGUGGCGGUACCUGCAGAAGAAGGACCGGCCAACUACGUGCCAGCCGCCGCUGUAA
rnacentral:rRNA from 1 species